GGUACUGUCAGCAGGCCUCAGGCAGAAGCAGACAAGAAGGGUAAGAAGUAAAGGAGAGGGAGGAAAGGAGUUGAAAGAAUAAGAGAAUGAGGUGAAAGCUGAAGUCCCCACAGAGAGGAGAUCUCUGAAGAAAUUGCUGAUGAAAGUCCAACAGGCUCUUCCAGUUUGUCUGGUCGGUCACAUUUGCUGAAACCUGGAGGAAUUGUUAGUGGAAGCUCAACAGGCCUGACUCAGUCUGACUGUCCAUUCUUCUGGAAGCUGCAGAGAAAAGAAACCUGGAAACCUUAUAUGCUGACAAAAAGGGACACAAUUGGAUAUGAUGGUUAUUUUACCAAGGUUUUGAAAUGUCGUGCUUUCAAAUAUAAACAGACUGCUUUAAGGAAUCGAAGUUGACUUAUAGAGCCAAUAAAAGCCCUGCAGGAAAGCUGGCCUCAUACUUUGUCUACACAGUCUCUGUACAGGUUUCCUGACCUGUGAGAUGGAGCUUAAUUUCCCUCCCCUUGAGUACUUGGUGACUUGCUCCUGGCAGAUAGAAAGUGAAAGAAAUGAUGGAAUGUCACAUCCAAGAUUAGAGGAGUGGAUACACCUACAAGAUUAGGAGACUACAGCUUCUGUGUUGGGUUCUCUCUUUCUUUUUCAUAUUCUCUCAUUCUGAUUUCUCAUUCUGGGGACCAGCUUCCAAGUUGUCUGAGGAGCCUUAUGAAGAGGCUCACGUGGUGAGGAACGGAAAUUUACUGAAUAAGCUCAGAGGGAGAUUCUCCAGCUCCUUCAGAUGACUGCAGCCCUGGCCAACAAUCUGACUAUAAUUUCAUGAGAGAGUCAGAGAGGGAACCAUCCAGCUAAGCCACUCUCAGAUUCCUGACCCACAGAAAUUACGUGAGACUAAUGCUUGUUUAAAGCUGCUAAGUUUUAGGAUAAUUCAUUAUGUAGCAUUAGAUAACUAAUAUUAGUUCUUCUCUGUAUUUAAAUUUUUUCCCCCAAAAAAGAGAAAAAGCAUCUCUAUGUAAA
rnacentral:lncRNA from 1 species